AGCGAACGCUGGCGGCAGGCCUAACACAUGCAAGUCGAACGAAGUCUUCGGACUUAGUGGCGCACGGGUGCGUAACGCGUGGGAAUCUGCCCUUGGGUACGGAAUAACUCAGAGAAAUUUGUGCUAAUACCGUAUAAUGUCUUCGGACCAAAGAUUUAUCGCCCAAGGAUGAGCCCGCGUAAGAUUAGCUAGUUGGUGGGGUAAAAGCCUACCAAGGCGACGAUCUUUAGCUGGUCUGAGAGUAUGAGCAGCCACACUGGGACUGAGACACGGCCCAGACUCCUACGGGAGGCAGCAGUGGGGAAUAUUGGACAAUGGGCGAAAGCCUGAUCCAGCAAUGCCGCGUGAGUGAUGAAGGCCUUAGGGUUGUAAAGCUCUUUUACCAGGGAUGAUAAUGACAGUACCUGGAGAAUAAGCUCCGGCUAACUCCGUGCCAGCCGCCGCAGUAAUAC
rnacentral:rRNA from 1 species